ACUAGUAUUGAAGUCCACGGGGGAUCAGGCUUUCCGAAAGGAGGGUGGGGGGAUGUUUGGUUUCCCCCUGCUUGGGCAGACUGGAGAGCAUUGUGUAGCCACUUUUGUUGGCUACGUUAUGUUUGGCCUCUGCUGAUCGAGCUUGUCACCUGAAUUCUACUACCCUUGCUUUUUGCGCACCCAUUGUUUCCUCGGUAGGCUUGCCUGCCAGUAGGACCAUUUUAAAAACCCUUUGUGAUUGCAAUCAGCGUCAGAAAACAACGUAAUCGUUAC
rnacentral:misc_RNA from 1 species